rnacentral:rRNA from 1 species
GAUGAACGCUGGCGGCGUGCCCAACACAUGCAAGUCGAGCGAGAAACCAUCGAUUGAAACUUCGGUAGAUAUUGAAGGCGGAAAGCGGCGGACGGGUGAGUAACGCGUAGGCAACCUGCCCUUUGCAGAGGGAUAGCAACGGGAAACUGUUAUUAAAACCUCAUAAUACCGUAAUGUCAAAUGAUGAAACGGUCAAAGAUUUAUCGGCAAAGGAUGGGCCUGCGUCUGAUUAGUUAGUUGGUAGGUAACGGCCUACCAAGGCAGCGAUCAGUAGCCGACCUGAGAGGGUGAUCGGCCACAUUGGAACUGAGACACGGUCCAAACUCCUACGGGAGGCAGCAGUGGGGAAUAUUGCACAAUGGGCGAAAGCCUGAUGCAGCAACGCCGCGUGAAGGAUGAAGGCCUUUGGGUCGUAAACUUCUGUCCUUGGGGAAGAAAAAAUGACGGUACCCCUGGAGGAAGUCCCGGCUAACUACGUGCCAGCAGCCGCGGU